CUCAUGGUCGUUCCCAGUUCGGAACUCCACCUCAGAAUAGGGGCCGGUCAGUGGGCGUGGAUUGCAAUCAUAGCCGGGCCUGGGGGAAGUGAGAGCAGGAUAGUGGAAUGCAGUUGCCAUUAGUGGGAAGAGGAGCUAACAAGCUAGCCUGUUACGCUCAGCUGGAGUUGGGGAUGAAAUCAUGCCUCAUUUUACGGUGGUACCCGUGAGGGAUCGAGCCCAGUCUGGCUAUGACAGUCUGGAGGGGAUCAACUCCGUGGACCACGGCGAUGGUGGCCCACUGGAUAAUCAAGACACGGUCAGCUCUGACGGACAUGGCAAUCACAAAGAAGACCACCCAUUUCUCAACAGUCCUGAUGAGAAGAAGGACUUCUACGAUAGGAACUUGGCCUUGUUCGAGGAAGAGCUGGACAUCCGACCCAAAGUGUCUUCUCUGCUCAGUCGCUUGGUCAGCUACACAAACAUCACCCAGGGAGCCAAGGAGCAUGAGGAAGAGGAGAGCGCGGAGGCUUCGCGCAGAAAGACUCCCAAGUCCCCCAACAUGGGCACUCUGAUGGGCGUCUACUUACCGUGCCUCCAGAACAUUUUCGGGGUCAUCCUCUUCCUGCGACUGACGUGGAUCGUCGGGGUGGCUGGCAUCAUGCAGUCCCUGUUAAUUGUUAUCAUGUGCUGCACGUGUACCAUGCUCACGGCCAUAUCAAUGAGUGCCAUUGCAACAAAUGGUGUCGUUCCAGCCGGCGGGGCCUACUUUAUGAUCUCACGCUCUCUGGGUCCAGAAUUUGGAGGAGCUGUGGGCCUGUGCUUCUACCUUGGCACCACCUUUGCUUCCGCCAUGUACAUCCUCGGAGCCAUUGAAAUAUUCUUGCAAUACCUGGUGCCUCAGGCCGCCAUCUUUCAUGCUGCGGACCACCACGGCACCGACAGCGCGAUGCUGAACAACAUGCGCGUCUACGGCACCAUCUGCCUCAGCCUUAUGGCCGUGGUGGUUUUCGUGGGGGUCAAAUAUGUCAAUAAGUUGGCCUCGCUCUUCCUCGCCUGCGUCAUUAUUUCAAUCAUCUCCAUCUACGCCGGCGCGAUCAAGUCCGUCUCUCAUCCGCCAGAAUUCCCGAUUUGCAUGCUUGGCAACAGGACCUUGGUCAGAGAUCGUUUUGAUGUGUGCGCAAAGACCGUCACCAUUGGCAACGUCACAGCACCCAGUCAGCUGUGGGACAUGUUCUGCCUUCCGGGGAACGCGAGCAGCGCACAGUGUGAUGACUAUUUCCUGCAGAAUAACGUCACAGAAAUCCAGGGCAUUCCCGGAUUGGCUAGUGGAAUAUUUAAAGACAACUUAUGGGGCGACUACCUGCAGAAAGGCGAGAUACUGGAGAAGGAUGGCCUCGCGUCGGUGGACUCCCACAGCACCAUGGAGCACUUUGGCAUGUAUGUCUCUGCAGACAUCGCCACGUCCUUUAUGCUGCUGGUGGGCAUCUUCUUCCCCUCGGCCACAGGCAUUAUGGCAGGCUCCAACCGGUCUGGAGAUCUCCGGGAUGCUCAGAAAUCCAUUCCCAUUGGAACCAUCUUAGCUAUUACCACCACGACUCUUGUCUAUCUAACAUCUGUGAUUUUGUUUGGGGCCUGUGUGGAAGGUGUGGUCCUAAGAGACAAGUUUGGUGAUGCCGUUAGGAACAAUUUGGUCGUAGGAACUCUGUCCUGGCCAUCCCCUUGGGUGAUUGUCAUCGGUUCCUUCUUCUCCACGGUGGGGGCAGGUCUGCAGACACUCACUGGAGCGCCUAGACUUCUUCAGGCUAUCGCUACGGACAAUAUCAUCCCGUUCCUCAGAGUUUUUGCUCAUGGGAAGGCUAAUGGUGAGCCAACAUGGGCCCUAUUGCUGACUGUUCUCAUAGCUGAGCUUGGUAUCCUGAUCGCCUCAUUGGAUAUGGUGGCACCUAUUCUUUCCAUGUUUUUCCUGAUGUGCUACCUCUUUGUCAACCUGGCCUGUGCCGUGCAAACACUCCUUCGCACCCCCAACUGGAGGCCGAGGUUCAGAUACUACCACUGGACUCUAUCCUUCCUCGGAAUGAGCAUGUGCUUGGCCCUGAUGUUCAUCUCCUCCUGGUAUUACGCUAUUGUGGCCAUGGGCAUUGCUGGGAUGAUCUACAAGUACAUCGAGUACCAGGGAGCAGAGAAGGAGUGGGGAGAUGGCAUCAGAGGACUUUCCCUAAGUGCUGCACGCUAUGCCCUGUUAAGGUUAGAAGUGGGACCCCCGCAUACCAAGAACUGGAGACCUCAGCUGUUGGUUCUGUCAAAGCUGGAUGAGGAUCUCCACAUUAAAUAUCCCCGCCUGAUGACUUUUGCCUCGCAGCUAAAGGCCGGGAAGGGUCUUACCAUUGUGGGAUCUGUCAUCCAGGGAAAUUUCCUGGAAAGCUACGGAGAACUGCAAGCAGCAGAACAGACCAUCAAGAACAUGAUGGACAUUGAGAGGGUCAAGGGUUUCUGUCAGGUGGUGGUGGCGAGCAAGGUGAGGGAGGGCAUCGUCCACCUGAUCCAGUCCUGCGGUCUCGGCGGCAUGAAGCACAACACGGUGAUGAUGGGAUGGCCGUACGGCUGGAGGCAAAGCGAGGAUCCUCGAGCUUGGAAGACUUUUAUCAACACAGUCCGUUGCACCACUGCGGCCCACCUGGCUCUAAUGGUGCCCAAAAACGUGUCGUUCUACCCGAGCAACCACGAGCGCUUCACCGACGGCAGCAUUGACGUGUGGUGGAUAGUCCACGAUGGGGGAAUGCUCAUGCUGCUGCCUUUCCUGCUCAAGCAACAUAAAGUGUGGAGAAAAUGCCAAAUGCGUAUCUUCACUGUCGCCCAGAUGGAUGACAACAGCAUCCAGAUGAAGAAGGAUUUAGCCACAUUCCUCUACCAGUUGAGGAUAGAGGCAGAAGUGGAAGUGGUGGAGAUGCACGAUAGCGACAUCUCGGCGUACACUUACGAGCGCACGCUGAUGAUGGAGCAGAGAUCUCAGAUGCUGAGGCAGAUGAGACUGUCCGGCGCAGAGAGGAAGAGAGAGGCCCAACUUAUUAAGGACAGACAUUCACUGGUGCGAAUGGGAAGUUUGUACUCGGACGAGGAGGAGGACACAUUGGACAGUCCUCUGCCGGAGAACGUUCACAUGACGUGGACGAAGGAGAAAUGCGAAGCUGAGAGGAGAAUCAGAAACAAUGCGCCCGAAAACUUCAGAGAGCUCAUGAGCCUCAAACCUUCAUCGUCUCCCGCGGCGUGACGGACAGUGAGGGUGGGGGUUGCCGAGCGGCUCACAGACAAGCGUGUCGGAGAGAUGUUGAAAGAAAGCCAAUGCCGAAAGUCUUCCGUGCGCUCUCCUGGGUGCGGCUGUCCCACUGAAUCAACACUCACCGUCUCCUCCCCUGCCGGGCUGAGACUUACAGCAUGAGAGUAGGCGCCAUAGGCCCCAAACUGGAUAGUCAUGGGACUGAAGAUGCCGAGCUGACCCGCCAUCUGGUGCAUCCGGCGCAAAGUCCGCUCCUUGUCGGUGUCUGCGAAUUUGACCACCAAGCUGGACGAGGCGCCCUAAAGUGUAACUUGAUGAACAGAUAAAAUGGAGCUUGAAGGAGAAGCAAAGUGGGGACCUGGAUGAUGAUGAUGAUGAUGAUGAUCAUGAUGAUGAUGACGGUGACAAUGAGAGGAGAAUUUUUUCCUGAGUGGGCUACAAGUAACAGUACAGUCCUGCAAAGGGGCAAAAGACAAGACUCGGACCAUUCAAUCCAGCAACGUCAAAACUGAUUGUUGUAAAAGUGGACUCAAGCAUGGAUCCGUUCUGAAAGACGUGCUGCUCAUCACAGACCACGCAGUACUCGUUAAGCGUGGGGAUCCUCUGCUCGGAGUACUUCAUUAUCUGUCCAAGCCACAUGGCCGCCAGCGCAAUCUCCUCAAACUGAUUGCCUAUUCACUUUGUCACCCAGUGGGAACUGAGCCCAUACUGUCUGCACCAGUCAGGCAAGUGAAUCACUAUAUCAUUAUUUUCUUGAAGAGGGGCCAAAUUGUGAAAUGACAUUAUCAGACUCUCAACAGUCCACUUCCAAGGAAGUUUAAUAUACUGAAAAUAUUCUCAAAUGCUAUAUUUUAGGAUCUUUAUAAUCUCCCGCAGCAACUCAUUUCUGCAUGUUGGCUGAAAAAUGUCCCAGGGAGCCCAAUCUCUCGCCAUCCAGACAGGAAGUGAGACUCUUGAUCACCUCAGCUUGCUGAGACUUUUCACAGACCUUCAUCCUUAUCUUUCCCUCUCUGCUUUUAUGUUCCACAGCGGCAUAGAGACAAGCUCCGAGCCCCCUGACAGGAUUUACAUUUCAAUUACAGGUCUUGGACGAUAACGCAAAUUGGGAUCAUAAAGUUAGCGUGAAAGACGGAAUGGGACAAUACUUUACAGGGUGUCUAAUGGUGACAGUGCUGCAAAAGAAGACAGUACCAUAUUUUACCUUCUCAACAGCUCAUGCUGAACAAAGGAUAUUUUAAAAAAUAUAUCAUAAAAAGAAAACAGUGAGUUCUCUGCCAGUGUUCAUACUUUCAAAUGGUCAGUUUUUCCUUCCUUAGAAAUUACAAUGAGGUGUUUUUAGAAUGGGCCCGAGGUCAACACGUUGGUGACCCCUGCGCUAAAGUGGUUAGCAUGGUUGUGGCUAACAAAGCAGCAGUUUUAUCAGAACUGGAGCAAAAAGUGUCAUUCACCUGAAUGAAAAGGACAAUUUCUUCUAACUGCCUUGAACAAAAGCGCGAACAAGUCUCUUGCGAGAACUGUACUUUAUGAUCCGACUAGCCCAUAUAAUGCUUGUCGAAUCACCUUCCACCUUCACAAACUUCUUCUCAUAAUGACUCUAUUCCACAUGGAUUUGUGGAAUGAACUCCUUCACAAAACUCCAUCUGGCGUGUCAAGGUUAAUUGUGUCCCAACGCCAGCAACAGGAAAUGACUAAACCCGUACCUGGAUGCCGUACAGGAACUGCUCCGGCUCGUUCUCACCGUCGGAUUCCUCGUCGGUCCAGCACUGGCUUUUGAUGUCCUGUGGGCAAGCAAAGCAGCAGCCAUCAUUUCCUUGAGCGCCUUUCAUCACUAUAUUUAUAAUGCACUUUACAAAGUGAUUAAAAAUAACCAUCCUUUUGUUGGGAGAUUUAAAGCAAAUUCCUCAGAGGUCCAAUGGAAUAAAUAGACUUUAUUUGAUGUAGGUACCGGUGAGCCAGCUUACCAUCAGUUCAGCUGUUCUCAGGAUUCAAUCAGUCAGCUUUAGGCCUCGUGCCAACCAUUGCAGCUGGGAAGGAAGGAAGCCAGUACGUCUUGCGCACCUUGGUACAACAGACAUAGGUCAGAUCCACGCGGAAACAAAAGAGGCCUUAGCUUAACAUUACACACUUUUGUCAGCAAAUUCUCCUUUAAACCGCCUGCACUUCACCUUCCUGCUGUCUCCUAGCAACAACCGUCUCUGCCUCUUUUUCUGAGUGGCAUUAAUCACUGUGGAGUGUGUGUGUGGGAGAACGGUGCUGGAUGUUCAGAACUCGGGUUGUCUGUGUUACAUUGUGUUUUUUUCCUCGGGAAAAAAAGAAAGAUCUAUUCAGUUUGGCUGACCUUUUAAUGGACUUGUAAAAUGUUUUAUUUUUGCCCAUGUCAGCUAGCCUAUUGUUAAAAAUGAACAUUUUCUGAUUUGCUGGCAUGGUGAAUUGGAUUUUUUUUAAAGUCACUGUUUGGAGUGUGCAUAAUCACCAAUCCAUUGGUUUCUAAGGAUUUGAAAUGGAAUUGAUUAAUCAUGUUGAAACAGCAUUCACUUCUUGGCUGCAACCAGCAGUCGUCAAUGUUUAUUUACUGACGAUGCUAUGAACAGGAGUUAAGACGAUCAAUAAUCUUUCAUUCAUGCAGUCAUUAUUUGUUUUCUUUUUUUCUAGUUUUUCAUUCUGUUUAAUAUAUAUUGCCUUUGUGGAAUUUGAAUUGAGCAGAAAAAUCCACCCAUUUUUAUCCAUCUCAGGGUGCAGCCAUUUUGUCUUGUACUGCCAAUUGCUGUCGACUAAAUAUGACAUCACAGUGUCGAAGGGCCUCACCUGUUUGCAGGGUUUGGUCACGUGACAUUUGCAAGCUGACCCCCGUGAUGGAUUUUUCUACCUUCCACAAAUACUAAUGAGAAUACUGCGUUUAGUCGUGUGGGAUUGUCGAGAUAUGUUUUUGUGUGACUUCUCCUUUUGUUGGCUAAUUUUACAUGACUUCUCCUUUUGUUGGCUGAUCGUAUUACCUCAAAACAUAUAUCAUGACUGACUUCUAUUGUUUCUGAAAUCUCAACAAAUCAUCCGUCAAGCACCGUUGCAAUAGGUUCCGCUCGAACCACAAAGCUGUCAUGUAUGACAAAGAAAACAGCGGUCCUUCCUAUUUUGGUUCAGUGAGUUCAACAAUGUUGUCUUAUCAAAUGCCGGUGCACGGCUGUCACGCAAAAGACCAUUUACAUCAUUAAUAAACCAAAACACAAAGCACUUUAGUGUUAGACACAUUACGAUAGAUAAUGCUGAUACGAAUUCCAAACAAGGACAUCAAGUCCCGACACCUCAUGCGUUCUUUGUGCGCCGUGUCGCUUCAGAGACCGUCUUCCUCAUAACUAAAUUCUACCUUGUCACGUACUGAAUAUGAGAAUAUCCCUUUCACUUGCACACAGCAUCCUGAUGUGCCCCCCCCCAUCACCAUCCCCGUGGCUUUGUGGUGCCACAUUCCACCAUCGUCCUCAUUUCUCCCCAUGAUGAUUAUUUAGCACAAAAUGCAGUCAAGCGCGUUUUCCCCCUCCCCCCUCUGCACACCCUCCCCAAACCUCCUCCAUCCAUAUUUACCUUCAGAGAGGAUGGAGACGCGGGAUGCUGUCCUCGCCUCAGCCUCUUCCCGCCUGGCGCCUGCAAGCAAAGACAAAAAGCUCAUCAAAAAUAACUCCGUGAUAUGAGCCGGUGUGUUUGUCAACUGCAGCUCUCACCGCGCCGACCGCCGUCUAGUGUAUUUUGCCUGACAACACUAAAGGGUUUGGAGCAUGCUCAGUGAGAGCAGACAGUCAGGUCAUGUGACCCGCAGCUGACUGCACUGCUGCUGCUGGGCUGGGAGGAUGAUAAAAAAAAAA